rnacentral:rRNA from 1 species
CUCCUACGGGGGGCAGCAGUGGGGAAUAUUGGGCAAUGGAGGAGACUCUGACCCAGCAAUGCCGCGUGAAUGAAGAAGGUGCCAAGCAUUGUAAACUUCUUUUGUCAAGGGACAAAAUCAGGCUCGAGAGCCUGACCGAGGGUACUUGAAGAAAAAGCAUCGGCUAACUCCGUGCCAGCAGCCGCGGUAAUACGGAGGAUGCGAGCGUUAUCCGGAUUUAUUGGGUUUAAAGGGUGCGUAGGCGGGCUGUUAAGUCAGCGGUAAAAGCCCGGGGCUCAACCCCGGCGAGCCGUUGAAACUGGCUG